UUUGGGGUACACUGGGCCCCCCAAAUCCUACAUGUUUCACAAUGCACAUGAAAGUGGAAGCACAUGUGUGAUGUUCCAGACCAAGGCAGUCAAACCAGAGACUCAGUAAUAUUCCAGGAACCACCCCCAGAGAGACUUGGGGUUGGUCCGGAAAUUACUCCCAUUUAAUGCGGGGCUGGGUCUCUGAGGACCCUGCUGCAUCCCCCUGCUUGGCAGACCUGCUGUUUCAGCUGGGUUUCAUUGUGUUUGAAGCCAGGCUUCGUGGAGAGCUGGCAAAAAGAGCCAUGUGAGCUGGGGAAUUUUCCUUCCUUCCCAUCGCCCCACAGCCUGUGGCCUGGAGUUGGGUAGCCAGGAUCUCCCUUUCUAACUCGCUAUUUCUGAUCUUGGGGAGUUGGGUGUAUAAUUUUAUGUGAGGGCUGUGUUGCUCAGAUUCCAACAUGCAUGCCAUUUCAAGGAAAAUAAUUCACAGAUUCUAGAGAAUUAAUUCAUCUUGGAUCCCAAUUUGAGACACAGAAAAUGAGUCUUAUUCUACAACAAAGUAAAUUAUCGUUGCAGCAGAGGUGUGUCCAGAUGUCUGGUUGAAGACUUAUUUGUAUAUUUUUUAAGUGUGUAUGAGACUUGUGGCUUCCUGAGAUUUUGUCCGUGGUCUGUGCUUGGGGAGUCACUGAACUAGGGAGAACUGCAGUGUUGGAGGUCAUUCAGAAAAGGCAGGGCAGCCUGGAGGAGUGGCCUAAGCAUCCCCUGUCUCAUUCAUCCAUCCUGUCACCUCUCAUCCUCAGGGAAGAGACACCUGGCUUGGGCCCCCCUCUGCCCACCCCCAGCAUUUGGGUGGUAACUUGCAGCUACUUCUCAUGGUGCAAAAUCUGCCUCCCUGGCUUGGCAAGCCAGGACCUGUCCUCGUUCUCAUUUCAUUGCAGGUAGAGUUUGCCUGUUUGUUUUUUCCCUCCAGAGUAAAUGCCAACCCUGGAUCGAAAUCUUAAUGGUGGUAGGUUGAAUUUCCAACUGGGCUACUUUGGAAAUAUUCCAUGUCCUGAAAAUUAGAGAGUACAUACUGCUUUUAUGGAUAACAGAAUCCAUCGAAAAUGAUGAAAAUUUGCUUUCCAACACAUCUAAAAUAGACCUGCCUAAACUUUCUCUAUUGUGUAAGACCCCACAGCCACAUGGAAAGGACACCCCUUGGAAUGAGUCAGGAGUGAGCAUGCCACUCCACUGCUGACAUUGUGGACGAUGUGUUCAAUCUUCGAGCCACAGUGUCCUCUGUAAAAUGUGGGUGCUAUUAGUUAGCCCAGAGGGUGGCCAAGAAGGCUAUAUAAAAUAACCAAGGUGCCUGGCAAGGGGCUCAGCACAGAAUGCAGGCUACCCCCCACCUACACACCCAUCAUCAUCCCUGUAACUCAGUAUGAAAUCAGAAGGGGGAAUCCAUUCUCUUUCUGGCCACCCCCAGGGCAAAGCAGUCUGUCUGCAUAAUGUAUCACCCAAAAGGAUGCUAAAUGUCACCUUCUUGGAGAUGGUGCCAGAAUGUUUUGGUUUGUGCCCACUGAAUGAUAAGCAACAUUCUUACCAUUUCAUUCCAUUUCUCUGGGGCCAACAUUUACCAUUGUCUGUCGUGGGGCAGCCUCCCAUCUCCAUGGCCUUGGGAAUCCCUGUAGAGCAGACAACAAUGGCAGAGGUGCAAUUUGCCAUGCCUAUCUUGUUGACUCUCAGCAGCUCCUUCACCGCUGGGCUCCUCCAAUCCACCUGCCACAGACUCUCCACGGAAAGUGGUUAGAGGUAGGACAGGUAAGACAACCUCUCCCCUUCUAGGCUUUCCAUGCAGGCAGCGCCUCACUUGGUUUCUUGCGAAAGGUAGGUAAGUAGAUUCAUCUGAGUGAAAAGUGUUGUCAAAGUGCUGGGAAGAUGUGCAGAAAUCAGGAAUGUGCUACCUCAGCUGAUGGGCAGUGCCUUCCCAUUAAACAGCCUGAUAAAGACAGCUGCCGGCUGGCAGGGCCAGAGAGCAGGACUCUGCACACAGAGAGCUUCUAACUUCUCCCAGAUGCCUCCCUGCUUGCUCGUGUUGCCGAAUGCCACUGCAGAGCCCGACAUUUCACCAGCUCCCAAAUCUGUGCUUCUCCACCCCUGCAACCCUUAAAGGGUGUCCCAGCCAUGGCUGGAUUUACCAGUCACACUUUGACAAUUCCUGACACUUAUCAGCCGUGUGACCCUGCCCCAGUGAUUUACAGUCUCUGAGCCUCAAUUUUCCCAUUAUUGAUAAUGGACGUAAUGAAGCCUACUUGUCAAGGGAUGGGGAAAUUAAGUGAGCUAACACGUGGAAGCAUGCAACAGAGCUGGCACAUAGUAAGUGUUCAAUUAAUUUUUUUCAAGGAUCAAUACAUGAUAUUCGCAUUAAAAUCAUUUUUGUGAAAGAAAAUAUAGUCUCUAACACUAAGGCCAAGAUGUUCUGAUGCUUGACAGAAGUUAUAUGCUACCCAGGGUCACCCACCAUGGCCAUCUGGUUGUGUGCACAGCCUACACAACUGUCCAUGGCUUCCCUGGGCCAGCUCUUACCUGAUGCAUGUCUGGAGUCCAAGGAAAAUUUUUUUUCUAGGUUAGUUCACUUAGGAUACAAGUGAAAUUCUUUCCUCAAUUUUCUGUCCCCAAAGCUAUCCAACAGUUUAAUUAAAUCUUAUGAGACUUAAGACAGGAGCACUCUGCCCUCCAUCUGUCUUCUGAGCUCUUUUCUCCUGGCUAUCUUUACUUCCCAGAGAGUUUUCACCUCUGAGGAGGGGCUCAGUGGGCUCAGGCUCAGAUAGAUGCCAUGGGGCCUGCCUUUAGUGGCCCUGGGGGCUCCUCAUGUUCUUCACGGGGGGUGUAAGGGCAGGAUAUCCCUUGCACCCCCUGACAGCACACACACUCACGUUAGGCUUUGUUUAACCCAAAAUGCCCCCACCGGCAGUAUCCCUGUUAACAUCAUACUCCAAGCUGGUCUCUCUGCUUCCAUUCUUGCCCAUUCUCCUGCCCUCUUCAUGCUUUGACCUCUAGAAUAUGAAUCUACUCCUGUAACUCACCCCUUCUUAAGACCGAUCAAUGGCUCCUCUUGCCUUUGGACAAAAUUCCAAGCUCUUUCCCAGGGUUUAGAAGUUCCUUCUUAGCUUGCCUGUGCUUUUCUGCCCAUCUUCCAGCUAUCUCCUACCCUAGCUUCAAGUCUCAGCUUAGGCAUCACCACCUCUGGGAAGUCUUCCUUGAUUGCCCCACCUCAAAGGGCCCACGGCUGCCUGUACUUCUGCCUUCAGGCAUGUAUCCAGUCCUGUGUGCUGCAAUUGCCUGUUCACAUACCUGUCUCUCUGACUGGUUGAAAUAACUUACUCCUCCCAGUGUCUCAGUGCCUAGCCCAAUGCUGGAAAUGUGUGCAGAGCUAAUGAGUUAACAGAUUCGUGAUGACUCCUUAUGGAGACACUACCCAGAUCUUUUUCAGCAUCAGGACAAGCAAGCAGCUUAGAGCUCCUGCAAGACUCCUGGAGACAUCAGAACUCUCCAUCCUGUGGCCCAGCAGAGGCAACACAAGAUUACUCACCUCCCACCUCGACACCACCGCUACCCAGUACAAAUCUCUGAAAGCAUCUGCAGGUUCUGCAGCACUUGAAAUUGGGACAUAGCUCAUGAGUUCUUCAGCACUUGGUGGGGUCUUCAGGGGACAUUGCUGUGAGCAUCUCAUCUGCUACCUGCCCCUCCCUGCUCACAGGCACAGCCAGCCUGAAGCAGAGAUGCCCUUCUACAAAAUCACGGUUAGUGUUUUGACUCAGACACCCCCUUCUCCCCACACACUCAAAAAACAUGUUUGACCCAGCCUGGCCUCUGCCCGCUCUCUGCUCUUAGCAUACACUACCCAUUUCUACUUUUCUAAUCAUUAGAAUUAAGGAUACAAUUUUAAGAUGCAAGUGAAGAGGUAAUUACCAAGAUGUUUAUCACAGUGUUAUAUAUAUGAGUGAAAAAUACAAAACAUCUUAAAUGUGCA
rnacentral:lncRNA from 10 species